UCGGGAAUUUUGGGCAAUGGGCGAAAGCCUGACCCAGCAACGCCGCGUGAAGGAUGAAAUCCCUCGGGAUGUAAACUUCGCAAGAACGGGAAGAAUAAGUAGGGGACAAUACCCCCUAUGAUGACGGUACCGUUUGUAAGCUCCGGCUAACUCCGUGCCAGCAGCCGCGGUAAUACGGGGGGAGCAAGCGUUGUUCGGAUUUACUGGGCGUAAAGGGCGCGUAGGCGGUCAGCACAAGUCAGUUGUGAAAUCUCCGAGCUUAACUCGGAAAGGUCAACUGAAACUGUGCGACUAGAGUGCAGAAGGGGCAACUGGAAUUCUCGGUGUAGCGGUGAAAUGCGUAGAUAUCGAGAGGAACACCUGCGGCGAAGGCGGGUUGCUGGGCUGACACUGACGCUGAGGCGCGAAAGCUAGGGGAGCGAACGGG
rnacentral:rRNA from 1 species